AGACAGCCAGGAUGUUGGCUUAGAAGCAGCCAUCAUUUAAAGAAAGCGUAAUAGCUCACUGGUCGAGUCGGCCUGCGCGGAAGAUGUAACGGGGCUAAACCAUGCACCGAAGCUGCGGCAGCGACGCUUAGGCGUUGUUGGGUAGGGGAGCGUUCUGUAAGCCGUUGAAGGUGGCCUGUGAGGGUUGCUGGAGGUAUCAGAAGUGCGAAUGCUGACAUAAGUAACGAUAAAGCGGGUGAAAAGCCCGCUCGCCGGAAGACCAAGGGUUCCUGUCCAACGUUAAUCGGGGCAGGGUGAGUCGACCCCUAAGGCGAGGCUGAAAAGCGUAGUCGAUGGGAAACAGGUUAAUAUUCCUGUACUUGGUGUUACUGCGAAGGGGGGACGGAGAAGGCUAGGCUGGCCGGGCGACGGUUGUCCCGGUUUAAGCGUGUAGGGGGUGUGACCUGGUAAAUCCGGUUGCAUACUAACCCUGAGGCGUGAUGACGAUGCACUACGGUGCAGAAGUAGUUGAUGCCCUGCUUCCAGGAAAAUCCUCUAAGCUCCAGGUAACAUUAAAUCGUACCCCAAACCGACACAGGUGGUCAGGUAGAGAAUACCAAGGCGCUUGAGAGAACUCGGGUGAAGGAACUAGGCAAAAUGGUGCCGUAACUUCGGGAGAAGGCACGCUGGCAUGUAGGUGAAGUCCCUUGCGGAUGGAGCUGAAGCCAGUCGAAGAUACCAGCUGGCUGCAACUGUUUAAUAAAAACACAGCACUGUGCAAACACGAAAGUGGACGUAUACGGUGUGACGCCUGCCCGGUGCUGGAAGGUUAAUUGAUGGGGUCAGCCGCAAGGCGAAGCUCUUGAUCGAAGCCCCAGUAAACGGCGGCCGUAACUAUAACGGUCCUAAGGUAGCGAAAUUCCUUGUCGGGUAAGUUCCGACCUGCACGAAUGGCGUAAUGAUGGCCAGGCUGUCUCCACCCGAGACUCAGUGAAAUUGAACUCGCUGUGAAGAUGCAGUGUACCCGCGGCAAGACGGAAAGACCCCGUGAACCUUUACUAUAGCUUGACACUGAACAUUGAGCCUUGAUGUGUAGGAUAGGUGGGAGGCUUUGAAGCGUGGACGCCAGUCUGCGUGGAGCCAUCCUUGAAAUACCACCCUUUAAUGUUUGAUGUUCUAACUCGGCCCC
rnacentral:rRNA from 1 species